rnacentral:rRNA from 1 species
GAACGCUAGCGGCAGGCCUAAUACAUGCAAGUCGAACGGUGUCUUCGGACAUAGUGGCGCACGGGUGCGUAACACGUAUGCAACCUACCUUACAUUGGGGGAUAGCCUUUCGAAAGGGAGAUUAAUACCGCAUAAGACAGUAGCUGGGCAUCCAGCAGCUGUUAAAGAUUUAUCGAUGUAAGAUGGGCAUGCGACCAAUUAGUUAGUUGGCGGGGUAAUGGCUCACCAAGACUAUGAUUGGUAGGGGAACUGAGAGGUCAAUCCCCCACACUGGCACUGAGAUACGGGCCAGACUCCUACGGGAGGCAGCAGUAGGGAAUAUUGGGCAAUGGACGCAAGUCUGACCCAGCCAUGCCGCGUGCAGGAUGAAGGC